CCUACGGGAGGCUGCAGUAGGGAAUCUUCCACAAUGGACGAAAGUCUGAUGGAGCAACGCCGCGUGAGUGAAGAAGGGUUUCGGCUCGUAAAGCUCUGUUGGUAGUGAAGAAAGAUAGAGGUAGUAACUGGCCUUUAUUUGACGGUAAUUACUUAGAAAGUCACGGCUAACUACGUGCCAGCAGCCGCGGUAAUACGUAGGUGGCAAGCGUUGUCCGGAUUGAUUGGGCGUAAAGCGAGUGCAGGCGGUUCAAUAAGUCUGAUGUGAAAGCCUUCGGCUCAACCGGAGAAUUGCAUCAGAAACUGUUGAACGUGAGUGCAGAAGAGGAGAGUGGAACUCCAUGUGUAGCGGUGGAAUGCGUAGAUAUAUGGAAGAACACCAGUGGCGAAGGCGGCUCUCUGGUCUGCAACUGACGCCGAGGCUCGAAAGCAUGGGUAGCGAACAGGAUUAGAUACCCCAGUAGUC
rnacentral:rRNA from 1 species